rnacentral:misc_RNA from 1 species
GAUGAAGAACGCAGCGAAAUGCGAUACGUAAUGUGAAUUGCAGAAUUCAGUGAAUCAUCGAAUCUUUGAACGCAUAUUGCGCUCUCUGGUAUUCCGGAGAGCAUGCUUGUUUGAGUAUCAGUAAACACCUCAACUUCCAUAUCUUUUUUGAAAUGGGAGUUGGACUUGAGUGAUCCCAACGCUUUUCCUCACCGAAAAGUGGCGGGUUACUUGAAAUGCAGGUGCAGUUGGACUUUUCUCUGAGCUAUAAGCAUAUCUAUUUAGUCUGCCUAAAAAACAGAUUAUUACCUUUGCUGCAGCUAACAUAAAGGAGAUUAGUUCUUGUGCUGACUGAUGCAGGAUUCACAAAGACAGGCUUCGGCCGACUUUGUAAACUCGAUCUCAAAUCAAGUAAGACUACCCGCUGAACUUAAGCAUAUCAAUAAGCGGAGGA